CAGAAAAGAAGGAGAAGAGAAGAGAGGGAGAAGAGAGGGAAGAAGAAAAGGGAAAGAGAGAGAGAGAGAUCAAACCUUGAUGGUUUUGGAUGAUUCAAAAGCCUAAAUCGCUUAGAAUCUCGCCCUCUUUCAUAAUCCAAGCUUUGUUUUGAGUGGGGAACCUUGUGGAGAGGGAUAUUGGCUCUCAAAAAUUCGGCCAUUGGUGAGGUUUUGGAGUUUUGGUGGCUUCUACCUCCAUGGGAGCUUGAGGAACACUCCCAUCAUUGUUGUGCAACCAUUGGUGGAUUGAGACAUUUGGACCAACCGUGAGUGAUCAACCAUUGGAGCAAGCUAUGGAGCUUGAAUAGCUCAUUGGAAUUGGUGUAUGUUUGUAAAAGUUGAUUGCUGAAACUGUUGGUGAAGAACAAAGGUUGACUGAAGCAUUGAGGUAAGGAUGCUGCAGGAGCCUCAGGUGGCAAGUGGCCAUAUCUGGAUUAUGCAUGAAAUAUGGCAUUUCUUUGAGUUUAUGCAUGCCUUUUGUAGUUGACAUGUAUAGGAUUUUAUUUUGAAAGCCC